ACGGCUCAGUAACACGUGGAUAACCUGCCCUGCGGUGGGAAAUAACCCCGGGAAACUGGGGAUAAUGUCCCAUAGGCUACGGAUGCUGGAAUGCUCUGUAGCUCAAAGAUUUAUCGCCACAGGAUGGGUCUGCGGCCGAUUAGGUAGUUGUUGGGGUAACGGCCCAACAAGCCUUUGAUCGGUACGGGUUGUGGGAGCAAGAGCCCGGAGAUGGAUUCUGAGACACGAAUCCAGGCCCUACGGGGCGCAGCAGGCGCGAAAACUUUACAAUGCGGGAAACCGUGAUAAGGGAACUCCGAGUGUCCGUAAAUGCGGACUGUCCGUAUGUUUAAAAAGCAUGCGAAGAAAGGGCCGGGCAAGACCGGUGCCAGCCGCCGCGGUAAUACCGGCGGCUCGAGUGGUGGCCACUAUUACUGGGCUUAAAGCGUUCGUAGCUGGGUCGUUAAGUCUCUUGGGAAAUCUACCGGCUUAACCGAUAGGCGUCCAAGGGAUACUGGCGAUCUAGGGACCGGGAGAGGUGAGGGGUACUUCAGGGGUAGGAGUGAAAUCCUGUAAUCCUUGGGGGACCACCUGUGGCGAAGGCGCCUCACCAGAACGGCUCCGACAGUGAGGGACGAAAGCUGGGGGAGCAAACCGGAUUAGGUACCCGGGUAGUCCCAGCCGUAAACGAUGCGCGUUAGGUGUAUCGAUGACCACGAGUCAUCGAGGUGCCGAAGGGAAACCGUGAAACGCGCCGCCUGGGAAGUACGGUCGCAAGGCUGAAACUUAAAGGAAUUGGCGGGGGAGCAC
rnacentral:rRNA from 1 species